rnacentral:rRNA from 1 species
AAGAGAGAGUCAAAAGACCGUGAAACCGCUCAGAGUAUAAGCCAAUGGAGCUUGGAAGGCUUCCGCAGUACCGUUCAUCAUACGUGGUGUUCGCAAGACCUUAAGUGUGGUUCGUCAGGCGAAGCAUUGAGUUUGCUGACCAGCUGUCGUGCGGGGGUUCGGCUUGGGGGUCUCAGGCUUCGGCCGAAGGGCUCCCGGCUGUCCCCUUUUGAAUGGACGUUCAGAGCUUAUGUGUCUAAUGCGGUUAUGCCCACCACGGCACGUUGUGAGGUCACCCACAGGCUCAAACUGCCGAUCGCGCAUCCAGGACGAUGGCAACGAUGCGUUGUUCAGCUGUGACGGCUGUCACGCGUGUCUAGUCCUGGGUCGGGCGGCGACCGAGAUAAACCUGGUACGAUCCUCAUGCGACGAGCUGCUUUCUGGCCAGACCGACGUCCAGGCGCUUCCACUGUGCCGGAAGCGUCCAUCCCAGGCGGUGUGAACCCAGCUGCAUUAUGCAAGGUCUCUCAGCCGGGCGUUGGUCUGAGUGGUGUCAAGUCCAGCACCGUCGGUCACGUCUCGAAACACGGGCCAAGGAGUAUAGCAUGUGUGCAAGUCUAAGGGUCUCACAAAACCCGAAGGCGAAGUGAAAGCAAGACUGUGGCGGGGGAGCUACGGCGAACCCGCCGGCCUAGUGGCGCGCUUGCGCGUUGCCUGGCUUUUAGCAGAGCUGAUCCUGUUUUCUCGGUUAAUUCUUGGUGCAGGCGCAAGCUCCGGGCUCACGUACAACACUGGUCACUUGUGGCUGUGUUGUGAGCACCGUGGAGCAUGC